CAACUCUGUUGUUAACUGAUCUUCAGAGAGGAUCUCUAGAUAAAAGUGUUUUUUAGAUGAGGUUCAGAUUGUUUAAGAUCUACACAGUUUAAGUAAAGUUGCUAGAGUUGAGUCGGCACUGAUUGCUACAGGUGGUUUUGGUGUCUUUACAGUAGAAUUUGACGAGUUUUUCUUUGCUUGGUAUUCAUCAUAUUUCUCUUUGGAACGCUUUUUUGUUUCAAAAAUAUUGACUUGACACCAGGAUAUACUAAGCUGCUGUUUUCUUCAACUGCUGUUUAUUUUCUCACAGCUUUGUUCUAAUUUUUGGAAACAAUCCAACAUACACAAUUUCAUAUGACAAUUGAUCAUUAUCCUCUAAGCAUAGACUUGCCAUAAUCAAGACUGCUGGGAUAUAAAAGAACAUUCAAGAUUCGUUGACGUGGAUGACGACCAUAAAAGAUUUUCGUGCCAAUUAUCCACACACUACAGAAGCAACAUUCUAAACAAAAUUUCUCGCGAUAUUUCUUUUUUCCUGACAAUUUUAGCACAAAAGAAAUUCCAAAUUAUUCUGACGUCGUUUUUUAAUUAAAUAAAUAUAUAUU